rnacentral:rRNA from 1 species
UACGUAGGUGGCAAGCGUUGUCCGGAUUUACUGGGCGUAAAGCGUGCGUAGGCGGUUUGCCGUGUCCUGUGUGAAAGCCCCGGGCUCAACCUGGGAAUUGCAUGGGAAACUGGCAGGCUUGAGUGUGGCAGAGGAGGGUGGAAUUCCGCGUGUAGCAGUGAAAUGCGUAGAGAUGCGGAGGAACACCGAUGGCGAAGGCAGCCCUCUGGGCCAACACUGACGCUCAGGCACGAAAGCGUGGGGAGCAAACAGG